rnacentral:lncRNA from 12 species
AUGGCAGGUAGAACACAACUGGCACUUAAUAGAACAGAAGAGAAGAAAGGAGGGGGAAAAGAAAGAUGGAACCAAAGACUGAAGGAUAAAACACCCAAGAAACACCGUAAGCAGUCGCCAACACAUUUCCAAUGGUUUAAAAGUGAUAGCCUGAAAAAAAAUAAAAAAAUAAAAAAAAAUAAAAGUGAUAGCCUGCUCUGGCUCAGCUUCCACUCCCACAGAAAGCAGGAGGUCCACUGCAAUCCCUCCCGGCCUAAUGGUGGGAGGCAACCUACUCUGGGCUCCCUGAGGAUUUCAAACAAAAGCACACGGUGCCUUGGAAAGUUACUGCAGAUGCAAAAUACCACCAUUAAAGGAACUAUUUUAAACUAAAUUGAUUCUUUGUUCUUUAGCCAAUUGGCUAAUCCUCCUCUUGAGAUGUGCUUCCAUUUAGGAAAGCUAAAAACACAGCUCUGAGGACCCAGACUUAGGAGGGGAGAGAUAUGCUGACAUAGACAUUAAGUAGGAUUGAACCAAGAGGGCAGCUGCAUCCUAAUUAGCUACUUGAGGAUUCUUCUAGGCUAUGUGGGCUCUUAUGGCAGGAGUGUGUCCAUGGAAGGGAGAGAAGUCAAGGGAAACUGAGAAUGAGGCCUGGGUGUCUGAGUCAGUGACGAUGCCAGCCAGGAUGGUCCAUCACCUGCCUGUAUGCCAGCCACUGGAUUCUAGCAG